CUGGGCCGGGGAGAGGGGCCUUAGUCUCCCCAGGUCCCAGGCACGGGCCUGGGGUGCCCUUGGAACCUGGGAAACCCACCUGAAGAGGGUGCAGAGCAACUACAGACCCUCAGACCCUGUGGGCGUGAAGGUGGUGGCUGCUGUGUGCACAGGCUUUGUGUGUCCUUCUGAGCCUGGGGCACGGGUGUCUUCAAGCCCGCUGGCUGCUGCGUGCACCGUGGCGUCCCCUCCAUGAGGUGUCCCCUCCGUGAGCAGUACGCAGUCAGCUGCGAGACGAGGCCAGCCUCACUCCCGGAGCCCGAGGAAGGUGCUGCCCCCUGACGCCAUGCCGGAGGUGUAAGUAGUCCUCUCCCCCAGGGCUCCAGGUCGGUCCCUUUGCUGCGGAUUUCAGCCCGUAGUUAGGGACCAUCUGUUCAGUCCCUGAGCAGCUCUCCGGGACACCACAUCCUCAAACAGGGAUGGUCCUGAGUGCUGGGGUUCCCCAGCUUCACCACGUGUCCUCCCAGGUUUUGAGCAGAACUUGCCCCAGUUUGUCUUGGGAAGACCUUUUUGGCCUGUGUCUCAGAGUUUGUCUGCACUGCACCCAGGCCAUGAAUUACCAUUGCCGAAUAGAUUAACAGAGCUUUGGGAAGGGACCCACAUGCCCACUCGGGAUCCCACGUGGACCCUCCAUCCUCCCCAGCGUACAAUGGCUGGUGCUUCCCAGCAAGGACCCCCAGUAGCUCAAAGGGCUGGUGGGUUUUUUCCCUUCUGCUGAUCCUCAAACUGGCCCCACCACGUGAUGUCUGAUUCCUUUCUGGGCACUGGCACGGCACCCCUGCCCCAGCUUGUUCCUGGGGUCUGCCGCCCAGUGUGUGAAAUGCGUUGUUCACACUCACUCUGUCUUCCGCUCUCCCCCUUCCACCCCCGCCCUGGGUCCUCCCUGUGAUGGACGCCUGCAGCGAGGUGAGUGAGACUUGGGGUAUCUCUGUUUGGCUUAAGUCUUUAGAUGGGUGAGGGUGGGGUGGACAUUUGAGGAGAGGUGAGAGCUUGGGUCAGGACCCAGGGAGGGGGUGCCCAGUGGCUGAGCAAAUUCCCAGGAGAGUAGAAACCCUGGGGGAAGACUCUGGACGCAGGGCUCCUCGAGGUCCAGGCAGGGGGUUCCCCCGGCACGAUGUCCCUGGAAGGUGGUCCUGGGGCUGCGACCAGGCAGAGCCCGGUGUGCCUCUGCACCUAGGCUGACCGCGGAGCAAGUCCUCCCUGCCCUGGUCUGAGAACCGUUCCAGCCCUGGGGGCCGUGCUUGUCCUUGAAGAGCCAGUCCCUGGAAAGCCACAUUUGAAGGGUGGGAGGGGAUCUCCUUGGGUUUUUCCACCUCCCGCAACAUUGAGGGAGGAGCACAGAGGGUCCUUGCCUCCUCUCCAGGUCUCAGCUGGCUGGAUACAGUCCAGAUUUGUUCAGCUGCUGAGGACACAGCCUCCGUCCAGCCCUGGGCGGUCGGGGUGGUGACUGCAGGGGGUGGGCUGCGGCUCAGGGCUGGCAGGGGGCAUCAGCAGCACAGACGGAGGGGACACUCCGCAGAGUCUCAGUGAGAAUCAAAUAAGCUGUUUCUCUAUAGCCCUGUGAGUCUUUAAGUUUAUUGAAGGGAGUCCUCAGUGGCGGCUCCGAAGCGCCCCGUGUGGCAGGGAGCGGCACUGCAGCC